UUUUAUCACCUUCCUCUUCGUCUUAAGAGUUCCACUUUUUCCUCUAACGUGAUUUAAUGUCUUGCUUCAGGUCGGACAAUACCCUCGGCAUAUUAUAAGUCUCUUUCUGUUUGUUGUAUCCUUGGUAUAGGCCUUAUUCAUUUUGGAACUUUAUAAAGUCAUGCAUUCUAGCCGUGUUCUAUUCUCUUUUGAGGUUAAUAUUUUCUUGUUGGGAUAAAGUGUGGAGUAGACCAAAGGAGCAAUGAUGUCGCCCAAUGGUGUUCGACAUUUAAGCUUUGUGCGGAGAAAUGUUGUAUGUUUUUUAAGUCAAGAAGUUUGGUUCUUGAUGUAUCAAAGGUUUUUUCCUGCAUGUAAUUAAGAUAUUGGGAAUUAUUGUUU
rnacentral:lncRNA from 1 species